rnacentral:rRNA from 1 species
AUUGAACGCUGGCGGCAGGCUUAACACAUGCAAGUCGAGCGGAGAUGAGGUGCUUGCACCUUAUCUUAGCGGCGGACGGGUGAGUAAUACCUAGGAAUCUGCCUGAUAGUGGGGGACAACGUUUCGAAAGGAACGCUAAUACCGCAUACGUCCUACGGGAGAAAGCAGGGGACCUUCGGGCCUUGCGCUAUCAGAUGAGCCUAGGUCGGAUUAGCUAGUUGGUGAGGUAAUGGCUCACCAAGGCGACGAUCCGUAACUGGUCUGAGAGGAUGAUCAGUCACACUGGAACGGAGACACGGUCCAGACUCCUACGGGAGGCAGCAGUGGGGAAUAUUGGACAAUGGGCGAAAGCCUGAUCCAGCCAUGCCGCGUGUGUGAAGAAGGUCUUCGGAUUGUAAAGCACUUUAAGUUGGGAGGAAGGGCAGUAAGCUAAUACCUUGCUGUUUUGACGUUACCGACAGAAUAAGCACCGGCUAACUCUGUGCCAGCCGCCGCCGUAACAC